GGGCCAGUAGCUCACCUGGUAGAGCGCUGCAUUCGCAUUGCAGAGGUAGGGGGUUCGAUUCCCCCCUGGUCCA
rnacentral:tRNA from 1 species